GCUAGUGGUGGGCAUGGCCCCCUCUUUGGAUCAACGAUUUUGCCAUCUUACAUUUGUAAUUUCAUGCAAGACAUUAGAAAGAGCCUGUAACGCCAUCAAACCUGACAGGAAACGUGACGUGAGGAGCUGAAGCUGGUUGUGACAGCACCUGACAACUUCUGGAAAGCAGCAGUCUCACCAGUUACCAGGCCCCUGCCAAACACCGAUCUCCAUCAGCGAGACUGCCAAGCGGAUUCCUUUAUUCCUCAUCGAAGAUGUCAUCCCAAGCUUACGUGAUGUUGUGUCCCUUUAAAGGAGCCAGGCCAGUCAGGAUUUAACUGCUACUUUAUAAUGUAUUUAAUCAUUUUGCAAUGAUAAUAAAGGGCAUGUCAGAAUGUUAUGUCAGUUGCCUUGUGCAGAUUGUGUUCAGUGCUGCUAAAAAUGCAAUUAUAUGCAUUCAUUCAGCUAUUUAGCAU